rnacentral:rRNA from 1 species
UACGUAGGGUGCAAGCGUUGUCCGGAAUUAUUGGGCGUAAAGAGCUCGUAGGCGGUUCGUCGCGUCGGCUGUGAAAACCUGCAGCUUAACUGUGGGCGUGCGGUCGAUACGGGCAUCACUGGAGUUCGGCAGGGGAGACUGGAAUUCCUGGUGUAGCGGUGAAAUGCGCAGAUAUCAGGAGGAACACCGGUGGCGAAGGCGGGUCUCUGGGCCGAUACUGACGCUGAGGAGCGAAAGCGUGGGGAGCAAACAGG